GCCCCCGUAGCUCAGGAGGAUAGAGCACAGGAUUCCUAAUCCUGGUGUCGCAGGUUCGAAUCCUGCCGGGGGCACCA
rnacentral:tRNA from 3 species